rnacentral:misc_RNA from 1 species
UUUUUUUUUUAAAAAAAAUUGUGCAAAAAUGGUGAUAUUAGCCGAUUUGACACACUCCAUUACAUCAAUUAUCAAGAAAUCUAAUCUUUACUACGUGGCUGCAACAAUUGUUCUCUGUUGCACUUUCUAUGUAAUCGGAUUUUGGCCGCAAGGUGGUGAUGUAACCAGCCGUCAAUUAUCUUCAACAGCCACCAUUUUACCCACCCUCCCAUGCAACCCAUCAAUCAAAAACACAAAUCCCAAUUCCCGUUCAUCGAUUCCCAUCGACUUCACCGCCCACCACACCGCUGAUGAACUUGUACCACUCUCAUCAUCGGCGCGUGUAAACCACUACCCAUCGUGUAACCUUGAAUUGUCCGAGUACACCCCGUGUGAAGACUCGAAGAGAUCAUUGAAAUUCGAUAGGAGCAUGCUUGCUUACAGAGAGAGGCAUUGUCCAGAAAAGAGUGAGUUGUUGAAGUGCAGAAUUCCGGCGCCGUUUGGGUAUAAACCGCCGUUCCGAUGGCCGCAAAGUCGUGACUCGGUUUGGUAUGCGAAUGUUCCUCAUAAACAUCUUACGGUUGAGAAAGCCGGACAGAAUUGGGUCCGGUUUAAGGGUGACCGGUUUACCUUCCCCGGCGGCGGCACCAUGUUUCCACGUGGCGCUGAUGCUUAUAUUGAUGAUAUCGGAAAAUUGAUCAAGCUGAAAGAUGGUUCCAUUAGAACCGCCAUUGAUACCGGUUGCGGAGUUGCUAGUUGGGGGGCUUACUUGCUUUCCAGAGACAUCCUUCCAAUUUCCUUUGCACCUAAAGAUACACAUGAAGCUCAAGUUCAAUUUGCCCUCGAGCGAGGAGUUCCAGCAUUGAUUGGCAUAUUAGCUACUAAUCGGCUACCUUAUCCUGCAAGGGCAUUUGACAUGGCACAUUGUUCUCGCUGUCUCAUCCCUUGGGGAAAAUAUGAUGGUCUUUAUUUAAUUGAGGUUGAUCGAAUUUUACGUCCUGGUGGAUACUGGAUUCUCUCGGGACCACCCGUUAACUGGCAAGAUCAUUGGAGGGGCUGGAACAGAACAGCGGACGAUUUGAAAGCAGAGCAAGAUCAAAUUGAAAAUGUUGCAAGAAGCCUAUGCUGGAAAAAAGUAACUCAGAGAGGUGAUCUAGCAAUUUGGCAGAAGCCUACGAAUCAUGUGCAUUGCAAAAUUAACCGAAAGGUCUUCAGGAAGCCACCUUUUUGCCAGGAACAAGAUCCCGACAAAGCAUGGUACACCAAGAUAGAUGCUUGUUUGAGUCCACUUCCAGAAGUGUCCAGUGUUAAAGAUGUCGCUGGAGGGCCACUGGAGAAUUGGCCGGAAAGAUUAACCGCGGUCCCUCCUAGGAUUGCUAGUUCUAGUAUAGAGGGAGUUACUGCAGAGGGCUUCUCUGAAGAUACAGAAUUGUGGAAGAAGAGAGUCGCCCACUACAAGGCAUUGGACAGUCAGUUAGCAGAACGUGGAAGGUACCGUAACAUACUUGACAUGAAUGCUUGGCUGGGAGGAUUUGCAGCUGCACUUGUUGAUGAUCCAGUUUGGGUCAUGAACAUCAUCCCCGCUGAAGCUGAAGUCAAUACUCUUGGUGUUAUCUUCGAACGUGGUUUCAUUGGAACAUACCAAAGCUGGUGUGAGGCAAUGUCAACGUAUCCACGAACUUACGACUUCAUACAUGCUGAUUCGGUAUUCACCCUAUACCAGGACAGAUGCGAAGUGGAAGAUAUAUUAUUGGAAAUGGAUAGAGUAUUAAGGCCACAAGGCAGUGCAAUAUUCCGAGACGAUGUGGAUGUAUUGGUAAACGUGAAGAGCAUAUUAGACGGACUACAAUGGGAAAGCAGGAUGGUUGAUCACGAAGGCGGUCCUCAUGUUAGAGAAAAGCUUCUAAUUGCUACUAAACUGUACUGGACAGCACCAGCACCUGUUCAAGAUAAGCAAUGAGUAUUCUAUACUAGUUUUACAAUGUGGCCAAGGCCAAUUCUUUACUUUACUUACUUCUGUUGAUAAGUUUUUGUUUGUUCUAUAUUUGGUUAUGAUUUUUCAUUAACCUCUCUAUCUUUUGGACUCAAAAUAAACUAGUGGAUAUUGAGGUUUUCCCUGAGAUUUUCUCUUACAUGCUGUGAAAUGCAAAAUUUGGCAUAGAAACCAGAUUUUAGAUGAUAUUAGUGUUAAAAUGACUACAGAUUGUUUUCUCCUACAG